UUUAUUGAUUACUGUUAGCAGAUUAACAAUCUCCAAGACAAACUUGUAGUUGCUAUGUGAAGGAGGCAUGAGGAAAGUAUGUUUUAAUUCUUUAUUAAUUACAAUUUAUUCACUUUGUAUUCCCCCUGUGGUUCCCUCCCUCCUCUUGUCCCAAUCCCUCCCUUCCUCCCCCUCUGCACACAUGCCUCUCCCCAAGUCCACUGAUACCGGAGGUCUUCUUUUCCUUCUUUCUGAUCUUAGUCAAUUAGGUCUCAACAGGAGUGGCUGCAUUGUCUUCUUCUGUGACCUGGUAAGGUUGCUCCCCCGUCAGGUGAUUUAAGAGCAGGCCAAUCAGUUCAUGUCAGAGACAGUCCCCUGUUUCUAUUAUUAUGGAACCCACUUGGAUACUGAACUGCCAUGGGCUACAUCUGUGCAGGGGUCUUAGGUUAUCUCCAUGCAUGGUCCUUGGUUGGAGUAUCAGUCUCAGGAAAGACUCCUGUGCUCAGAUAUUUUGGGUUCUGUUGCUCACCUCCUCUCUACUUUAGAGUCCUUUGCUGUGUACAAGACUCAGGGGAACAGCAGAGUUUCUAUUACUCUGGGGAAUACUGCAUCCUGGACAUGAUUUUCUUAUGCCCGAGUUGUGGCUUUACAGCGUCCCAACAGGAUGCAACAUCAUGAAGGACCAAACCCUCAGUUAUUUUGAUCACAUGUCUUUUCUGUGAAAAGCACUGAAGACCACAGAGGAGACUAAGGAGACAAGACAACUCCAUGUAGUUGUCUGUGUUGGUGCCCUUAUGCUGUUCUUCACUGUCCACACAACAAAUGCUCAGCUGUUUCUCUCAGAGGAGUCCCUGAGUCCAGGGAUGGUGGAUAAAGCAGAUUUGUCUGGUUCGAUGUUGAGGUCUUUGAUCCACUUGGACAUUUGUUUUGUACAGUGUGAUAAAGAUGGAUCUAAUUACACUCUUCUGCAUGCAGACAUCCAAUUAGUCCAGCAGCAUUUGUUGAAGAUACUUUCUCCACUCCA